GAUGAACGCUAGCGAUAGGCUUAACACAUGCAAGUCGAGGGGCAGCACAAGGUAGCUUGCUAUCUGGGUGGCGACCGGCGCACGGGUGCGUAACGCGUAUGCAACUUGCCCUAUACAGGAGGAUAACCCGUCGAAAGACGGACUAAUACUGCGUAUGCUCACAACUUGGCAUCAAGUGGUGAGGAAAGAAAUUCGGUAUAGGAUAGGCAUGCGUCCCAUUAGCUUGUUGGUGAGGUAACGGCUCACCAAGGCAACGAUGGGUAGGGGAACUGAGAGGUUUAUCCCCCACACUGGUACUGAGACACGGACCAGACUCCUACGGGAGGCAGCAGUGAGGAAUAGUGGUCAAGGGGCGCGAGCCUGAACCAGCCAAGUCGCGUGAAGGAUGACUGUCUUAUGGAUUGUAAACUUCUUUUAUACGGGAAGAACAAGAGUCACGUGUGACUCCCUGCAUGUACCGUAUGAAUAAGCAUCGGCUAACUCCGUG
rnacentral:rRNA from 1 species